rnacentral:rRNA from 1 species
GACGAACGCUGGCGGCGUGCUUAACACAUGCAAGUCGAACGGUGAAGGGACCGGUUUUUGCUGGUUCUGGAUGAGUGGCGAACGGGUGAGUAACACGUGAGUAACCUGCCCCCUUCUUCUGGAUAACCGCAUGAAAGUGUGGCUAAUACGGGAUAUUCUGCGCCUGCUGCAUGGUGGGUGUGGGAAAGAUAUUGUUUCGGUGGGGGAUGGGCUCGCGGCCUAUCAGCUUGUUGGUGGGGUGAUGGCCUACCAAGGCGGUGACGGGUAGCCGGCCUGAGAGGGUGGACGGUCACACUGGGACUGAGACACGGCCAAGACUCAUACGGGAGGCAGCAGUGGGGAAUAUUGCACAAUGGGCGGAAGCCUGAUGCAGCGACGCCGCGUGAGGGAUGGAGGCCUUCGGGUUGUAAACCUCUUUCGCCAGUGAAGCAGGCCUGUCCCUUUUGUGGGUGGGUUGACGGUAGCUGGAUAAGAAGCGCCGGCUAACUACGUG